AAGGGAGACCUAAUUCGGGUAUAAGACGAAAAAAGAGUAGUCGAAACCAAGAAUCAAUCCCAAAAGGUCGGAACGAGGUAUGUGGCUUUCAAACUAGGUUCUGGGUUCACACAAGACCUGAAUCAGGAACAAGGGCUAUUAGCUCAGGUGGUUAGAGCGCACCCCUGAUAAGGGUGAGGUCCCUGGUUCGAGUCCAGGAUGGCCCACCUGCACAGGUGGCAAAAACAAAGAAGCGAGGAAUCAGCACCUUAUCUUAUCUAUAUAUAAGAGAGAAUGCUGGCUCUGAGUAAAGAGUCCAGAGGAGCCUUGAAAACUGCAUAGAGCUAGGUGAAAAAGCCAAAAAAGAAGACCGCAA
rnacentral:tRNA from 1 species